GACGUAGGGCGCGAGCGUUGUCCGGAUUUAUUGGGCGUAAAGAGCUCGUAGGCGGCUCGUUGCGUCGGCUGUGAAAACCCACAGCUUAACUGUGGGCCUACAGCCGAUACGGGCGAGCUAGAGUUCGGUAGGGGAGACUGGAAUUCCUGGUGUAGCGGUGAAAUGCGCAGAUAUCAGGAGGAACACCGGUGGCGAAGGCGGGUCUCUGGGCCGAUACUGACGCUGAGGAGCGAAAGCGUGGGGAGCGAACAGG
rnacentral:rRNA from 1 species